GCGGACGUGGCGGAACUGGUAGACGCGCUAGACUUAGGAUCUAGUGGGGAAGCUCGUGGGAGUUCGAGUCUCCCCGUCCGCA
rnacentral:tRNA from 4 species